UACCAUAUCAAUAAGCGGAGGAAAAGAAACUAACAAGGAUUCCCCUAGUAACUGCGAGUGAAGCGGGAAAAGCUCAAAUUUAAAAUCUGGCGGUCUCUGGCCGUCCGAGUUGUAGUCUAGAGAAUUGUUGCCCGCGCUGGACCGUGUACAAGUCUCCUGGAAUGGAGCGUCAUAGAGGGUGAGAAUCCCGUCUCUGACACGGACUACCAGGGCUUUGUGGUACCCUCUCAAAGAGUCGAGUUGUUUGGGAAUGCAGCUCUAAAUGGGUGGUAAAUUCCAUCUAAAGCUAAAUAUUGGCGAGAGACCGAUAGCGAACAAGUACCGUGAGGGAAAGAUGAAAAGAACUUUGGAAAGAGAGUUAAACAGUACGUGAAAUUGCUGAAAGGGAAACGCUUGAAGUCAGUCGCGUUGACUAGGACUCAGCCUCGCUCUUGCGUGGUGUACUUUCUGGUUGACGGGUCAGCAUCAAUUUUGACUGCUGGAAAAAGGCUUAGGGAAUGUGGCAGCUUCGGCUGUGUUAUAGCCCUUGGUCACAUACAGCGGUUGGGAUUGAGGAACUCAGCACGCCGCAAGGCCGGGUUUCGACCACGUUCGUGCUUAGGAUGCUGGCAUAAUGGCUUUAAGCGACCCGUCUUGAAACACGGACCAAGGAGUCUAACAUGCCUGCGAGUGUUUGGGUGGUAAACCCGAGCGCGUAAUGAAAGUGAAAGUUGAGAUCCCUGUCGUGGGGAGCAUCGACGCCCGGACCUGAACUUUUGUGACGGAUCCGCGGUAGAGCAUGUAUGUUGGGACCCGAAAGAUGGUGAACUAUGCCUGAAUAGGGUGAAGCCAGAGGAAACUCUGGUGGAGGCUCGUAGCGAUUCUGACGUGCAAAUCGAUCGUCAAAUUUGGGUAUAGGGGCGAAAGACUAAUCGAACCAUCUAGUAGCUGGUACUGCGAGUUCCUCCUC
rnacentral:rRNA from 1 species